AUGAAGACAGAGGACAUUGCUUUGAUCUUGAUGGUGCACAUGGAGAAGAAUAAGCAGUCAAAGCAUGGUGGUUUUGUUGUCGGCCAUGAGGUGAUCCGUAAGAGAAAUCAAUAUGGGCACCAUAGACCGAUGGUUAAUUAUUUUGAUCCAAAUCCGGUGUAUCCAGAGCGAUACUGCCGGUUCAAGAUGGCUCCGGAUUUGUUCCUCCACAUUGCCAACAGUGUGAAGCAACAUGAUCGAUUCUUCGAGCAAAGGAGGAAUUGCAUCAGAGAUCUUGGACAUAGCACUAUCCAAAAGGUGAUUGCAGCAUUGCACAUGAUGGCAUAUGGUAUUCCUGCAGAUUAUUGA
rnacentral:rRNA from 1 species